UGGGGAAUCUUGGACAAUGGGGGCAACCCUGAUCCAGCGAUGCCGCGUGGGUGGUAAGGCCUUCGGGUUGUAAAGCCCUUUCACCGGGGAAGAUGAUGACAUUACCCGGAGAAGAAGCGCCGGCUAACUCCGUGCCAGCAGCCGCGGUAAGACGGAGGGCGCUAGCGUUGUUCGGAAUCACUGGGCGUAAAGGGCGCGUAGGCGGCUGUCUAAGUCGAGGGUGAAAGCCCGGGGCUCAACCCCGGAACUGCCCUUGAAACUAGGUAGCUAGAAUACUGGAGAGGUGAGUGGAAUUCCGAGUGUAGAGGUGAAAUUCGUAGAUAUUCGGCAGAACACCAGUGGCGAAGGCGACUCACUUGACAGUUAUUGACGCUGAGGUGCGAAAGCGCGGGGAGCAAACAGGAUUAGAUACCCCCGAAGUCC
rnacentral:rRNA from 1 species